UACGUAGGGUGCAAGCGUUGUCCGGAAUUAUUGGGCGUAAAGAGCUCGUAGGCGGUUUGUCGCGUCGAAUGUGAAAACCCGGGGCUCAACCCCGGGCCUGCAUUCGAUACGGGCAGACUAGAGUUCGGUAGGGGAGUCUGGAAUUCCUGGUGUAGCGGUGGAAUGCGCAGAUAUCAGGAAGAACACCAAUGGCGAAAGCAGCUUUCUGGGACGGUACUGACGCUGAGACGCGAAAGCGUGGGGAGCGAACAGG
rnacentral:rRNA from 1 species